ensembl:lncRNA
UUUUUCUACAGAGAAAGAUGAUUUUAUUUUUUUCACACAGCAGCUGGACUGUACGGCACCGUCACAUUAAUAGUAUUUGUAGUCAUAUAAACAUAGACAAAAUCCUUAAUAAUGAAUACAUUUUAAUAAUAACAUCAUACCUGCAAGAACUAUUCUAUUAUGAGACUCCCAGUAAAUAUUGAAGUGAAAUAAAAUUAAAGAUUGAGGAAAAAGAUUGUGUAUAAAAUUGAAUUAUGUGGGCCAGUUGUUGGUAAGUCUUUAAUUAGAAAGACUUAAUGAAGGAAAUACAAGCGAGUGGAAGUAGUUUUGUAUUUUGUGUUUUACAAAGUGUGAAGUUUAGACAGCUGCGUUAAUUGUCCUAACUCCUUGGCUUCAGUGGAGCUGGCGGUUUAUGCUGGCUCAGGAUCUUCGCCCAUGCAUGAUAAAUUUAGUAUCUACUUUAGUAUCUGUAAUUUAGUACAACAACUGUCGGUGUCAUUCCAGACCAGUUACGGUAAGGACAUAAAUGAUGGACAUGGCUCUCUUUCCCCCUCUCCUCCCAGUUCUACUUAAUAUUUCGUUAAAUACUUUAACACAGUGGGCUGUGUUUUCCUCUCCUGAGUGUUUUGGCUGCAAGUAGUGAGUUUCCAACUCUCACAAUAUGGUUUUCUUAUAUAAUGGAGUCUUCCCUGCAAGUGGAUCACAAAGAGGAGACAGAUGGUAAACGUAACUUAGGCUGUGCUGUGAAGGGCUUAUUUAUAACUCACAGUAGCCGUAGGACAGCAGGGGGGCCUCCCGAAAGGAGAAACCACAGAGGAACUGGACUUUAUUUAAAGUCCUGGCUUCGUACUCCUAUUGUAAAGACUAGGUAUUCAGUUCAGGAAAAUGCUGGUAUUUUCCUGUGUCUUGUGUGAGGAUGUUAAUAAUCCUACUGAAAAUCAGGAACUUCUAUGAUUUCUAAUGAAGGGGAAUUUUAUUAUUUAUGGGAGAGGUUUUUGUCUGGUUAAAGCUGUACAACAGUUUUUUGAUCAGUUGAGGACUCUGCCCUCCUCUCAGGAAUGGAAAUUAGUUAAAUUUAAGGAUAUGGAUUUUGGGACUUCAGGCCUGUCCCCUUCAUGGUUUUCUUUGUUCACACUGAUUAUUUUGCCUGAAGCAAGGAGUCUGCAUGAAAAGUUGAAGAAGUGCUAUGACCAUAACAAAUCAAGACAUAUGUCGGAGGUGACAGCUCACUCAUUUACAGCAAACAAAUAAGAUGCUUGAAAAUAGUCACUUUUCUUUUACAGAGUAUUUCUAUUCUAUUGCCUGGUUUCCUACAUGUUGCUGGUUUUGUAUUAAAUUUUCACUUGAAACUUCUUAGAGAUCACUCUCUGCAUUACAACCAGCCAAGUCAUUCUAGUAAUGGCAUUUUCUCUUCCACUCAGUUCCGGAGGUGGGACCAUUGGUCAAAAGAUGAAGGUUAAACUUUUCUUCUAGGAAAAAUUUCAAUGUAGACCUCUCUUGAAAGUGGAACUGCAGUCUUGUACUUUCAGUAUAAACAUUAUAACCCCAGACUAACAUGUCCUGAGAUAUUUCAUUUCAUUACAGGAAAGGUAAAAUAUGGAGAGGAUAAAAAAUAAAGACUAGUGUCAGGUGAAUGUUAGAGUGAUGAGGCAGGCAAAGAAGAGCC